rnacentral:rRNA from 1 species
GUUUCAUGAAAAUUUAUAUUAAAAUUUUAUUUUUUAGUUAAAAAGCUAAAAUAAUUUUAAAAGACGAGAAGACCCUAUAAAUCUUUAUAAUUUUUUAUAUUUUAAUUUUUAAAGAUGAAUUUUAUUAUAAUGUAAAAAUUUAUUUUAUUGGGGUGAUAUUAAAAUUUAACUAACUUUUAAUUAACAAAUUACAUUAAUUAAUGAAUAAUUGAUCCAUUAUUAGUGAUUAAAAAAUUAAGUUACUUUAGGGAUAACAGCGUAAUUUUUUUGGAGAGUUCUUAUCGAUAAAAAAGUUUGCGACCUCGAUGUUGGAUUAAGAGAUAGUUUUAAUGCAGAAGUUAAAAUAUAAAGUCUGUUCGACUUUUAAAUUCUUACAUGAUCUGAGUUCAAACCGGUGUAAGCCAGGUUGGUUUCUAUCUUUAAUAAAUUAUAAUAUUUUAGUACGAAAGGAAUUAAUAUUUAAAAAAUUUUUUUAAUAAUGAAU